GACGAACGCUGGCGGCGUGCUUAACACAUGCAAGUCGUACGGUAAGGCCCUUUCGGUGCUACACGAGUGGCGAACGGGUGCGUAACACUUGCGUAACCUUCCCCCAACUUUAGGAUAACGCUAGGUUACUGGUGCUAAUACUAGUACUGUGCCACUUCUUCAUGGGGGGGGUUGGAUAGCUCCGGGGGUUGUGGAUGUAUUCGCGGCCUAUCGGCUUGCUGGUGUGGUAGUGUCGUACCGAGGCGGCUACGGGUAGCAGGACUGUGAGGGUGACCGGCCACACUGGGACCGAGAGACGGCACAGACUGCGACGGGAGGGAGCAGGGGGGAAUAUUGCACAAGGGGCGCAAGCCGGAUGCAGAAGCGCCGCGGGCGGGAUGACGGUCUUCUGGGUGUAAACCGAUUUCAGCAGGGACGAAGCUUUUUGUGACGGUACCUGAAGAAGAAGCACCGGCUAACUACGUG
rnacentral:rRNA from 1 species